UACGUAGGGGGGCUAGCGUUGUCCGGAAUCAUUGGGCGUAAAGAGCGCGUAGGCGGCCAGAUAAGUCCGGUGUGAAAGUCACAGGCUCAACCUGUGAAUGCCGCUGGAAACUGUCUGGCUAGAGUCCGGGAGGGGCGAGUGGAAUUCCUGGUGUAGCGGUGAAAUGCGCAGAUAUCAGGAGGAACACCGAUGGCGAAGGCAGGUCUCUGGGCCACUACUGACGCUGAGAAGCGAAAGCAUGGGGAGCGAACAGG
rnacentral:rRNA from 1 species